UUUCCUACGGGGCGCAGCAGUGAGGAAUAUUGGUCAAUGGGCGGGAGCCUGAACCAGCCAAGUCGCGUGAGGGAAGACGGUCCUAUGGAUUGUAAACCUCUUUAGGCGGGGAGCAAUGCCGGGCACGCGUGCCCGGAGGGAGAGUACCCGCAGAAUAAGCAUCGGCUAACUCCGUGCCAGCAGCCGCGGUAAUACGGAGGAUGCGAGCGUUAUCCGGAUUUAUUGGGUUUAAAGGGUGCGUAGGCGGUCGGAUAAGUUAGAGGUGAAAUCCCGAGGCUCAACUUCGGAAUUGCCUCUGAUACUGU
rnacentral:rRNA from 1 species